UAAGCAGGCACUUGAAAAGGAGUCACAGUAUAGAUAUAAAAAAAUUCUCUAGUAAUUUAUACGCGUGUUAUUUGUAGGGGAAUAACUUUGGUUACUUGCCAUGUACCAUUCCUCAGGUCCACGUGGUGCCCACUUCAGGCGAUCCUCUCAGCGUGAUCAGUUGCCCAGGCUGAGCAGCUCGUCCACCAUGGAUAUGGGAAACUACUUCCGGAGAAUACGCCGCGGUAGCACCUGCGAGGCGGAGAGGCGAGCGGCCAAGGCGGCCCAGGACGCCAAUGUGCCACCGGCCAGGCUCUUUCUGCGCUCCACCUCUCGAGGAUUGCGUCGUGUCCUCGAGAUCUAUAUGCCACGAUUCCAGCCCGACGAGGAGGAGCAGCGGUCAGAGGACGAACCUGGCGAGUCAGCCAGGACACGGGAGCCACAGGAAGCUCCUCCCAUUGCCACCAACUGGGCGGUGGUGACGUGGCGGACGUCGAACGCGGUCGCCUGAUGGCAUCUUGCAGAGCUUGGAUUUGUUUAACGACCACUUGAUGGGGCACCUCCUGCACUUGGGAGUGGAGGAUGAUUGAAAAAAGAGAAACAAUGCCACCAACAUCUGCUUCCAAUUACACUCGGUUGGGGAUGGGGAAAAGCCCCAACGGGCUGGUUUCUUCAGACAUCAACACGAGCACUUAUGAUACUUUCUUGUUCUGGAACUCGGGGCGUCGUACGAAUGUCAACGGAAUGAAUGUUUGUCAGCUAUCAAAAACUCAAUGCAAUUGGUAAAACAAUCUUUUAAUUGGGAGCAGCAAAAUUGUUAAUAUAUUUAUCUGGAUGUUCAGGACCUCUUGCGCUGCCAUCUCUCCAUUUGGGCACGCUUACUUUAGCGCCCUGUCGCCCAUUUAGCCAUCCAGGCUCAUCCACAUCCGCAUCCUGGCCACCGCGCGUCCUUGCUCACUUCGCCAUAUGCUUUGCAUAACUUAGGGCGCAACAGGAAAUGAAUGGAACACGCCCCACCGACUGAAACAUAACGAAAUGUGGGGAGAACAAAGUGGCAGCAGCAAAAACAACAAACAGGGCCGUGGCACAGUUAUUCCACGUACUUUCCCCCUCCCAAUUUUCCCGACUUUCUCCCCGCGGCAGACAGCAUAAAAUACUCUUGUAAUAACAAUUUAAAGCCGAACGCCAAGUGAUACGCUUUAAUAUAUGCAAUUCAUUUUGCAA